AUCCGGCACCACCCCUACCUCCGACGAGGACACCUGCUCAGAUUCCAAGAAUUUGAGAAACAGGCAAGAGAUCGCGAAUUAAUUCUAAAAUUAUCUUGGUCACGGUUUUUUUAUGAGGGUUCUUACGCUGUGGCUCAGGGAAUGGGCCGUGUAGGAACUGUAGGAGGGCUUGGAUUGGGUGAAAUCGAGAUCCAGGCCGCCAUCAGGCGCGAGGAGGGGCGGAGGUGGCGGGCCGCCGACGGUCUUGGCCUGGACGGGGACGACGCUGUCGGUCUGGUGGAAUCGGGCGUCCAUGGAGGAGGCGUAGUCCAGAUCCAG
rnacentral:lncRNA from 1 species